rfam:Aureobasidium namibiae CBS 147.97 unplaced genomic scaffold scaffold_9, whole genome shotgun sequence.
GGGCGUCUGGCGCAGUGGUAGCGCGUCUGCUUUGCAUGCUGAAGGUCUAGGGUUCGAUCCCCUAGUCGUCCA